AAGGCUUGACAUACGCCGGAAACGUCUGGAGACAGGCGCCCCCUUGUGGUCGGUGUACAGGUGGUGCAUGGCUGUCGUCAGCUCGUGUCGUGAGAUGUUGGGUUAAGUCCCGCAACGAGCGCAACCCUUGUUCUGUGUUGCCAGCAUGCCCUUCGGGGUGAUGGGGACUCACAGGAGACCGCCGGGGUCAACUCGGAGGAAGGUGGGGAUGACGUGACGCAACU
rnacentral:misc_RNA from 1 species